rnacentral:rRNA from 1 species
GACGAACGCUGGCGGCGUGCCUAAUACAUGCAAGUAGAACGCAGUUGCGAACGGGUGAGUAACGCGUAGGUAACUGCCUCAUAGCGGGGGAUAACUAUUGGAAACGAUAGCUAAUACCGCAUACUGUGAGAUGGACCUGCGUGGUAUUAGCUAGUUGGUGAGGUAAAGGAUCACCAAGGCCAAGAUGCAUAGCCGACCUGAGAGGGUGAUCGGCCACAAUGGGACGCAGACACGGCCCAGACUCCUACGGGAGGCAGCAGUAGGGAAUCUUCGGCAAUGGACGAAAGUCUGACGGAGGCAUGCCGCGUGAGUGAAGAAGGUUUUCGGAUCGUAAAACUCUGUUGUGAGAGAAGCGGUAUCUAACCAGAAAGCAACGGCUAACUACGUGCCAGCAGCCGCGGUAAUUC